AGCUUUGCACAGUGGCAGUAUCGUAGCCAAUGAGGUUUAUCCGAGGCGCGAUUAUUGCUAAUUGAAAACUUUUCCCAAUACCCCGCCAUGACAACUUGAACUAUAGUCGGCAUUGACAAUUUUUGACAGUCUCUACGGAGA
ensembl:snRNA U4 U4 spliceosomal RNA